rnacentral:tRNA from 1 species
CAUUAUGAAGCUAGUAGCGUUAACCUUUUAAGUUAAAGACAGGAGCAUAAACUCCCAUAAUGA